rnacentral:piRNA from 1 species
UACUCAACCAGUGCCAUAUAUGCCUUGACA